rnacentral:pre_miRNA from 1 species
UUAACUCAAAUUUGUAUGGAGUUGGAACGUUUGCCUACGUUUGCCACUAGGGGCGCUGUUCCAACUGCAUACAAAUUAGAGUUA